AGACUUUGGGAUAUGUAAGUAAGCCGCAGGGUUCACUCAAAUAUAUAAGGAUUCGUUUUAUGUCAACAUCACCUGUUUUUUUUUUAAUGCUUAUUGAGUUGCUUGAUGCACUUUUGAGUUCUUGAACAUGCUCUCUGACAUGUUGGUCGGUACUACAACAUAUAUUUUCAAGUUGUACGGUAUCGUUUUACUACCAUAUGCGUCUUAAACAGGCUUUUCCUUUUCUGGGGUGAGCCAGUGUGACAUUCCAAACGAAAACAUGCUUCAUACUCGAUGCAUUCAUAUAGAAUAUUCUAUUGUACACACGUGAAUGUGAAGAGAAUGUGACAUUAGAAUAGUGAUUUACAAAAUAUCAUAACUAUGAAAUAAACUAGUCUCAUCUCAUCUUCGGUGCCUAGAAACUUCGAGAUAUGUAAGCCGUGGACCUUAUCCAAAUAUCUAAAGACACGUGUGAAGUCAACAUCA